rnacentral:rRNA from 1 species
UGGGGAAUCUUGGGCAAUGGGGGCAACCCUGACCCAGCGACGCCGCGUGGGGGAAGAAAUCCCUUGGGAUGUAAACCCCUGUUGUGCGGGACGAUGAUGACGGUACCGCACGAGGAAGCCCCGGCAAACUACGUGCCAGCAGCCGCGGUAAUACGUAGGGGGCGAGCGUUGUCCGGAAUCACUGGGCGUAAAGCGCGCGCGGGUGGUUUCGUAGGUCGGCCGUGAAAGACAUGGGCUCAACCCGUGCAGGUCGGUCGAUACCGCGGGACUGGAGUAUGGGAGAGGAAAGCGGAAUUCCCGGUGUAGCGGUGAAAUGCGUAGAUAUCGGGAGGAACGCCAGUGGCGAAGGCGGCUUUCUGGCCCAUCACUGACACUGAGGCGCGAAAGCCGGGGGAGCGAACG